CUCAAUGGGCUUUUAUAUCCUUCGGCUUUGUGGAUACCCCCACUCCGGCGGCGACGCCGGCGAGCAAACCAUUCCGCCGCGCCGCCGCCUAUCCGCUUCGCCGGCCGGCGGCCGCCCACUGCCUCCCUCGACGCACUGGCUCCGCCAGGGAGUACUCACACGCGGCCGAAGCUUGCCUGCUCAUUCGAUCGACAGCCCUGCUGGCGUCGCCUGCGGGGCACGACGGCGACGCCCUCCGCGGCAGGCCGCCCUCCUUGGAUUUCUUCGGAUCAGGGGUAGCUGCAAAAAUGUGGUUGCUCGCGUUGCCAUUGUUGUCGAUGUUGGUGAGUCCCAUGUACUGUGCUGCCAGUGCUGUGGAUAGAUUGUUGCUCGGCGCAACAACGAAGGCGAUGCCAUGGCAGCUCAGGUUGGGGUAAGAUGUGAGGAUGGCAAACACAAAGGAGGCUGAGAAGGAUUGCACCGUGCCGUUGAGUGACCCGCGGAAGCUCAAGGGAGCUGGGAAGAAGGCAUGGCCUUUGAGCUGGGUCGUGCCGUUGGUCAGCUCAAGGAGGCCGCCUGCUGUGACCGUGGCCGUGCCAUCGAGGGUGACGUUGGCACCGGAGAAGCCAGAGAAGACGAACUGGUCAUCGCUGGCACUGACGGCCAGCACAAGAUUAAAGCCAUGGAACAGCAGGAUAUGGAGAAGAAAGGAGAGUGCAAUCUUCAUGAAAGGCGCGCUGAAGUUUACUUACUGGUGGUGCGGUGGCUUCUUGUUACAUAUGGUCUCAAGUGCUCUGGAUUUCAUUCGGAAAUCGAUAAAUCGACCAUCGUUUUCUGAUGCCAGGGUUGUUUAGCAACAACGUCACAGGACACGUCAACGAAUCUUCUAAGAGAGAUCAGCAAGUGUGUAGCGGAAGUUGAGCGAAAAUUUGUGCUUCCUUCUGGUUGUUGGACAUGGCGCUCAUGCUUGCCGUUGAUGAAGGGUAUGACAUGACGUAUGAGUCGAAUCCUUGGUUCUGCAUCAGUGCAAGUGUAUGAAAGCUGUGGUGUGUUGGCACCAGUUCUGG